rnacentral:snoRNA from 14 species
AGUCCAUUGGGUAAUGGGAGACUGAUCGAUAUUCCAGCAAUAAUGAAUAAGUGAGCAGGGUCACAGUGGGCUCACGUCAGGUGCAAUGCAGUACAGAA